rnacentral:rRNA from 1 species
UACGAAGGGGGCGAGCGUUGUUCGGAAUCACUGGGCGUAAAGGGCGCGUAGGCGGCCCUCUUAGUCGCGUGUGAAAGCCCCGGGCUCAACCUGGGAACGGCGCGCGAAACGGGAGGGCUGGAGUUCGGGAGAGGAGAGUGGAAUUCCCAGUGUAGAGGUGAAAUUCGUAGAUAUUAGGAAGAACACCAGUGGCGAAGGCGGCUCACUGGCCCGGUACUGACGCUGAGGCGCGAAAGCGUGGGGAGCAAACAGG